GAACUGCGGCUGCGCCAGGCGGGGGCCCCGGGCGCAGAGAUGGCCCGACACGCGAUGGCCGCAGGGAGCGCCCCGGGGUGGGCCGCGGGGGUCCUCGCCGUGGUCUGCCUGGUCUUCUGUUUCGACGUCAUCAGCUGUGAUUCCCAAUUGUAUGGAGCUGUGAACAAGAAUGUGACUUUCUUUACAGCAAGUUCUACGCCCGUUAAAGACAUCCUGUGGAAAAAAAGAAAGGAUAAAAUUGUAGAAAAGGAAGAAAACUUUGAGGAAAAAGUUUUCCAACCUUUUACAGAUAGAAUUCAUUUAAACAGUAUAUCAGGUGACCUCACCAUCUUCAAUUUAACAUCAUCAGAUGAAGAUGAGUAUGAAUUUGAAUCCUUAAGCGUUAAAGAUAGUAUCAAAUUCGUUCUUAUGGUGCUUGAGCCUCUUCCGUCUCCGACACUAAAUUGUACAUUGGCUAAUGAAACUGUUAGGGUCCAAUGCAGGAUUCCGGAACCUUACAGCAGCCAUAUAGACCUUAUAAGGUACUCAUGGAAUUGCUCCUCAGCACAGUGUAAAAAUGGCUCGGAAUCAUCAGAAGUGUGUGUUAACAAGAAAGAUGCUCUCUCACGGACAAUAGAGUGUGUCGUUAGCAAUCCAUUAUUCAGAAAUGCAUCAUCAAUCGUUUUGGACACUUGUGUCCCACACGGGAAUACCAGGCGGAGGUUUGGGCUUUUAGCAGUCACACUAGCAGUGAUAGUUGGAGGAGUUAUUUUUGUAGCUGUAAAAGCUGUUCAGAGAUGUCGCCAACCAAGAGACAGAAGCACGCAAAGUACGCUGUAGACUGUGCAGUGGCUUCAGUUGAUUGGUAAUAGAAGAUGAAGUCGAAUGUGUAGUAACUAAGUUAUUUAAAUACUUUGAAAAGCUGUCUGAUUUACCAUUCGACUUUUACAUCAUCUUUGAGGAAACUUUGGAAGUCUAACUUGAAGCAGUUCAUCAGAGCCGUUUUUUUUUUUUUUACAAGAAAUAUCAAGCAAUAAAAACAAGCAUUAGUUUCUGCUCUGUUACCAACACUUUCUGUGACUGGGUGCUCACUCUCCUAGCUGUCAAACGUUUCUUGUAAACUGUGGAUUGGAGAGAUACAAACUUUUGUAAAUAAAUGUAAAUUAAUGUACAUAAGUGACUAGGUGGUUUGGCUCAUUUUUCCUGUUAAAUUAGAAAAAUAAAAUAGUCACAUACCUCAGCAGGUGAAGGCUUUUUACUAAAAUCUGUACUCGACUUCUGUUUUGUUUUAGAGGAGAAAUAAUUCAUUGCAGGAUUGGUAGUAGAGUGAGGGAGAAGAUGGACAAAGUCCUUUUGCUUCUUAGGUCUAUGGCUGUUGACAAGAAGCAAGAACAUACAGGUCUUCUGUUUCUUUUGAAAAGACCAGAUCACCACCAUCCAAAUGCUGGUGUAUAACCUGGGUGGGCAGGGAGACUUGUCUCAUCAAGAUCUCUUAAUCCACUUAGUCUGUCGUGUCAGCUGUCCCCUUAGCAGGUGAACAGCCGAGAACUCGUAACAAACUGUCAAGUCACGUACAAAUGCAGAACAGCAGCGUCUCCUGAAUAAGGAAGUAGAGAGCCUGCUGUCCCUCGGGCAGCCAUCAUGUAAACCCCAGAUCCCAGAGUCAGCAUGCAGAGGGCUUAGCUCCUGAGCCGUGCUACCCCUGGAAUUUCUGUCCCAUGAGAGUCUUCAGUCUGAAAGAAGAAAUAAUGCUUUUUCACUCCAAGGUGGGUGUGUGAACAGGGCCCCGUGAGACAGCUCUGUCCAGGCUAUCCAGAGCCGUCAGCGAGAGUGAGGCAGGGGCCUGGGAGCCCUGAGUACUCCUGGGAAGACCCCUACUUCUCCCUAGUCCCCGCACCUCCAGGUGGCGUAGCUUCCUAUCGAAGUGUGCCUCUGACUAAUCUUGCCGAACCCUUUAUUCCAGGCCCUAUAGGGAGCCUGGGACUCCCAGAACAUCUUCAUCUUCCAGACUGUCGUCUCCAUAUGCUCUGUCUGGCCUUUUCUGGCCCCAUCCAGGAACAACAAGAUUCCUGGUGUCCUCUCCUAUGAAUGUUCCCUUCUCCUUUCUGUUCGCAUUAAACCUGGCUCUCCCCGAUGAUGCUGCUUCCCAAGGCCUUCUCAAGGGACAGCUGCUUCCUCUCCUGUGCCCCCUGCUGGGCCUGGGGGGAGGGAAGGCAUCCUCCUUGCUCCUGUCUGCCUCCAGACCCUUGCUUCUUCCUCGCCUUUGAUGCUCUGGCCAGCAGAUUGCCACCUCCUGACACCCCUUUGUAAGUUAUCUUGGUUAUUCCUCAUCCCAUGAAGAUUUUAGCACAAGGUUGAAAUCACUCUCUUAAUACUGCUCCUUUUAGAAUGUGAGUGUUUUCAAAACCUGCAAAUCCAGUACCCUGCCAUGGUCUCCCCCAAGGAUCUGUCAUCUCCCUUUCUCAGCAGAUGCCACCCUGGUCCUUCUCCUACCAAUACCCACAGCCCCCAUAGUCUCAGUUACAGGCAUCCCCUCUCCCCUCCCUAUCUUCCACAUCACUCCCUGGAGGGCCCCAACUCCAAAAAUCCUGCAGCCCUGCCAGGACCUGCACGCCAGUGAUCCCACCAUCUUUUCCCUGGCCCUCAACCCUUUGCAUUCUCUUUCUCCUUCCUGCCUGCUCAUCAGUAUAAUUAUUCCUUCACCUGCACUCUUUUACCCUCUCACUUGUCAUUCUCAUUUGGCCAAAUCGCAACCAUGGUUAGAAUCAUCUCUACCCCUUCCCUCCCUGCACCCAAACUGCUGAACCUCCCUGGGGAAAAAGGCACCACCAGUGCCUUUCGCUUCAAUGACCACAAACUUCAAAUGGAUUCAGUGUUUUUCAGAUGUCUUCAUCGUAUUGCCCGGGUCCACUCACUGUCUCCUCAUCUUUCUUCUUAGAUCUGCAGCCCUGUGCCCUCACUCUCAACUGGUCCCCUUGCCUCCCAUGUCACUGAAAAAAAUACAAGCAUUCAGAAGAGACCCCCUCUGCCUCCCACCGCACAUCUGCACACCCACACCUGUGUUGGCACUUGUGGACUUUGCCUCCUCUCCUGUUACAGAAUGUGAUGACCCCGAGGCAGAAAGUCUAUGCUGAUAGCCAUCAUCACUGACAACUGAAAGAUCAGGGUAUGGGACAUUGCUCCAUCUAUGAUACAUAUCCAGUAAAACAAAAGACUAUCAGGAACUAAGACCAGAUGUCUGCCCCACCCCCCGGAGACCAGCUGCCUCUUCCAUCCAGAGACCAGCCCUGUACAUAACUGGCCUGUCAUCUUUGUUCUGUAAGAUGGUUUUUUUCCAGAUGGGAGUCAGCCAUCUUCCCUCUUGCUAGCAAGCUGUAAUAAAAAGUCCUUUCUCUCCUACA